UACGUAGGGGGCAAGCGUUGUCCGGAUUUAUUGGGCGUAAAGAGCGUGUAGGCGGCUAGAUAGGUCCGUUGUGAAAACUCGAGGCUCAACCUCGAGACGUCGAUGGAAACCAUCUGGCUAGAGUCCGGAAGAGGAGAGUGGAAUUCCUGGUGUAGCGGUGAAAUGCGUAGAUAUCUGGAGGAACACCGGUGGCGAAGGCGGCAUCCUGGACCGGUAUUGACGCUGAUGCGCGAAAGCCAGGGGAGCAAACGGG
rnacentral:rRNA from 1 species